CCUACGGGAGGCUGCAGUGGGGAAUAUUGCACAAUGGGGGAAACCCUGAUGCAGCGACGCCGCGUGAGUGAAGAAGCGCCUCGGCGCGUAAAGCUCUGUCAGCAGGAACGACGAUGACGGUAGCCGAGGAGGAAGCCACGGCUAACUACGUGCCAGCAGCCGCGGUAAUACGUAGGUGGCAAGCGUUGUCCGGAAUUACUGGGUGUAAAGGGAGCGUAGGUGGGAAAGCAAGUUGAAUGUUUAAGGUACGGGCUCAACCUGUACAAGCGUUCAAAACUGUUUUUCUUGAGUGGAGUAGAGGUAAGCGGAAUUCCUAGUGUAGCGGUGAAAUGCGUAAAUAUUAGGAGGAACACCAGUGGCGAAGGCGGCUUACUGGGCUUUAACUGACGCUGAGGCUCGAAAGCGUGGGUAGCAAACAGGAUUAGAUACCCCUGUAGUC
rnacentral:rRNA from 1 species